rnacentral:rRNA from 1 species
GACAACGUUUCGAAAGGAACGCUAAUACCGCAUACGUCCUACGGGAGAAAGUGGGGGAUCUUCGGACCUCACGCUAUCAGAUGAGCCUAGGUCGGAUUAGCUAGUUGGUGGGGUAACGGCUCACCAAGGCGACGAUCCGUAACUGGUCUGAGAGGAUGAUCAGUCACACUGGAACUGAGACACGGUCCAG